GGUGUUUCUGUGACAGCGUCUCUGUACUGCUCUGAUUAACUCAUAUCGCAGCGGUGCCUGGACAGCGUGACGUGUGUGGUUGUGCUGCUGCCGUGGUCCUGCCAGAUGCCUCCUGCUGCUGCUGCCAUCAUUAGUCAUUAGUCAUACUUCUACUGUUAUUAUACACAUAUGACUAUUGUCACACAUGUAUACUGCCAGAUAUUAAUACAUACUUUCAACAUAUUGUACCACAGUAGCCAGAACUAUAACUAUAAUAUUAUUACUUUCAAUAAUGUUGUUGUAAGCUACUGUCAUUACCUGCAUCUCUCUCUCUCUCUGUCUCUCUGUCUCAUUGUGUCAUACGGAUUACUGUUAAUUUAUUAUGCUGAUCUGUUCUGUACGACAUAUAUUGCACGUCUGUCCGUCCUGGAAGAGGGAUCCCUCCUCAGUUGCUCUUCCUGAGGUUUCUACCGUUUUU